CCCAGACUCCUACGGGAGGCAGCAGUGGGGGAUAUUGCACAAUGGGGGGAACCCUGAUGCAGCGACGCCGCGUGGGUGAAGGAGCGUUUCGGCGCGUAAAGCCCUAUCGGCAGGGAAGAAGGAGGACGGUACCUGACUAAGAAGCCCCGGCUAACUACGUGCCAGCAGCCGCGGUAAUACGUAGGGGGCAAGCGUUAUCCGGAUUUACUGGGUGUAAAGGGGGCGCAGACGGCAGCGCAAGCCAGGAGUGAAAGCCCGGGGCCCAACCCCGGGACUGCUCUUGGAACUGCGCGGCUGGAGUGCAGGAGGGGCAGGCGGAAUUCCUGGUGUAGCGGUGAAAUGCGUAGAUAUCAGGAGGAACACCGGUGGCGAAGGCGGCCUGCUGGACUGCGACUGACGUUGAGGCCCGAAAGCGUGGGGAGCAAACAGGAUUAGAUACCCUCGUAUAA
rnacentral:rRNA from 1 species